rnacentral:rRNA from 1 species
GUGCGGAAUUUUAGAUAAUGGAGGGAACUCUGAUCUAGCGACGCCGCGUGCAGGAAGAAGGUCUUCGGAUUGUAAACUGCUGUGGUAAGGGAAAAAUGCUAUGUAGAGUGGAAAGCUACAUAGAGGGAUGGUACCUUACUAGAAAGCCCCGGCUAACUACGUGCCAGCAGCCGCGGUAAUACGUAGGGGGCGAGCGUUACCCGGAAUCACUGGGCGUAAAGGGAGCGUAGGUGGCCUAACAUGUCAACUGUGAAAACCCGGAGCUCAACUCCGGACUUGCAGUUGAAACUGGUAGGCUUGAGGACGGUAGAGGAAGACGGAACUGCCAGUGUAGGGGUAAAAUCCUUAGAUAUUGGCAGGAACGCCGGUGACGAAGGUGGUUUUCUGGGCCGGUUCUGACACUGAUGCUCGAAAGCCAGGGGAGCGAACGGGAUUAGAAACCCCAGUAGUCC